UUGGCGUCCAUUGGCAGGCAGGCCUUGGGGGGCUGGGGCGCCCGGCUCGGCUUCCCUGGCCUCCACCCUGAGCCGGAGGCCAGCUCUGGGGCCGCGGUCAAAGGGCAGCCUCAGAGCACCCUGGAGGGCCACCUGCCUGAGGUCCCUGUGCAGUUUUCUCCCCUUUUCUGGCCUCUGGCUCUCAGCCCCGUCCUUCCUCUGCUCAGAUAAGGCUGCUCCUGCACAGCUCGCAGCUCCUUCCUGCCUCGCUUCCCUUUCAUCCCAGACCAAGGCGCCCUCUGUGGAGGGGGCUGGGCUUCUGCACAAAUAUUUAAUCUUUUCCAAUCUGCCCUUUUGCACGGCCUGUCAGUUCCUAGGGUGGAAACGGCUCUGUUUGCUUUAGCUGGUAACAGGAUACUCUUUCCAAAAGUGAUGCAGAAGUCAGAUUACUUAUGAAUCCGGGCUUUCUUUUCGCAUGAAUGCUUUUCAAGGGAGUAAGGAUUAUUUUCAUCAUCAGAGCCCAGCCAAUAAGAUGAAGAAGACAAAGGAAAGGUGCUUCUGCUACUCUCAGGGAUCCUCCCAUGUUGGGACCCGUUGCAAGCUGGCUGUGUGAAGUUCCACCUAUGACAUCAUCACAUGUAAAGGACGCCCGGCAGCUCCAUGCUCUGCGCCACGGCUGCCUGGAGGAUAGUGAGGAGGAGGGAGAAGCCCUGAUAGCCAUGUGCACUCCAACCUAGAGGUGCUUCAGGGGGCACCUAGGGUCUGGAAGCCCCAGCCCCCCAAAAAAUGAAAGGGGAAGGGGUCCUAGAGGGUCAUUAAACCUACAUCAAAAUAAAUGAUUUCCAUAUUUUAAGGAUUCUAUGACUCAUUGACCUGUGUAAAAUGAAGAGUGCAUGGCCCAGGAUACAAAGGUUUUUGUA